rnacentral:lncRNA from 1 species
CGAAUUUCAGAAUCGCUUGUUCUGGGCUGGAGGGCGCCAUACCCCCUUCUGAAUGGAACGGGACAGGGGCCCAGGCCUUUGACAGCGGCGGAGCUCAUCACCGUUCCAAGCAGGGCCGUGUCACUGGACAGAGCCAUGACCGCGGCAUGGGGUGCGGCGAGCAUCUUCAUCUCUGUAAAUGGGUAAUGUAACUCUCAUUUUAUGGCUGAGAACCAGAGCGGCCAAGCCAUUUCUCCUGAGGUGCGCGGUGCCGAGGCAGGUGGUAGGUCCCUGUGUGCACGGUGGAUGUCACCGGUGUCUAGGGUACAGCGGCACUCGAGGUCCGCCUAGCCAGCAGGGGGGAGCUGGGAGAAGCCACGGAGAUUUUAAACCGACACGUGCGAUAAAAAUAAGAAACAAAGGCCACUUUGAGAUUUUAUAAAACAUGUGAACAUGGGUCCUUGCCGCUCGCACCGUCGUCAUCACAUCCUUGAGAGCGAAGGAGGUUCUCACAUUUCCAUUUUACAGAAAACCAAACAAAAACUUUGAGAGCCUUCUAGCAUGCCCUGGGCUCCACAGCCGUCACAGAAUAACACUGGGGACCCAGUCCACCUAUUCUGGGGCCAAAUCCCACAUCAGUGUCAGUGUGCGUCAGUUCCGCGGGCAGCGCUGCGCCCCGAGAGUCCGCUCUCAGCUCGCACCCCUCGCUCCCGGAAGGUAUUAGAAACUCACAAGACUUCUUCCGGCUCCGCCCCACGCACCGCGGCUGCCCUCCCGCGAGACUGGUUACCUUCACGUCAGCAGCGCCUUGUCUGAAGACCUCACAGAUGGCAGCUGGAGGACGUGCACACAAGGGCCGGAGAGUUGUCAGCGUCUCUGAGUAGGAUUCCCGUGCCGAGUGAGAUGAGGACCCGGGUUACUUCCACACGGUGAUUGUCAAACACGGGCGUGUGGCAGAACCACCUGAGACGACGUCAACGACGCAGGCUGCCUGGCUCCGUCACCAGACAUUCUGCCUCAUGAGGGUUUCCGCUUCUUCAGUUACCGCCUCACCUGCUUCCUCAGUCCCUCUUCGCAGAAGCUCCUUCCCCUGCGCAGACGUUCAGUGGACCUCCCUUCUUCAAGAGCAAAAACACGGGUCAUCACCUCCAGGGAACGGAGCCUCGCCCAGCCUCCGGAGACCCAGAGUGUGUCUCUCUCUCCAAGAGGAGGUCAGCACAUCACAGCCCAGAGCGCGGGGGAAGGUCACAAGGAGCGGGCAAUUCGCAAUGGAGUUUCCCGUGACCCACAGCCAGAAGUUGAAGGGCAGAGGAUGGCAGAGAUCAGUGGCCCUGAGGUCUGACCGCCGGCCAAGGCUCCCGCCAGACCUCAGCAGAUGA